GAAUGGGGAGAGAAUAAGAGCAUAUGGAGUCAGAUGACUGAGAAAAUGACGAGCUCAAUCUCGCGCACUCUUGUGAGAGUUAGGUGUAUUCCUUUUCAUUUCUGAAGACAAAGGAAUCGUCCGGUUGGAAUAUUAUGGAAGACUUAUGAUAAAAACAUCCUAAAGAUUGAUUCUAUACAUCGUUUGACAUGUUCCUACGAACGUAAAAAACUUUUUUGACUUUUCGUCUGAACUUACUGCGCGAGCACAGUGCAUUUGGAUUACUCUACUGAACGCGCAAACAGAAUUGAGCCAUUAAAUUAAGAGUGCUUGGAAGAUACCCAUCAAGGACGAGACUGGCAAGGCCACCUCCAAGGUGAUGGUGGACAUCUUCAACACCCACGGUUCUCCUGAGGUCAUCUUGAGUGACCAAGGUCAUGAACAAUGGAACUAGGUGUGGUGAAUGGACCAACCAGACCCUCAAGACUGCCAUGGGAAAGUCUCAUGACGGCUACCAGGAAGGGUGGGAGAAUAACCUGAAGAUCACUGAAACCUCACCUGAUGUGGUGGAAGAUGUCGAAUCAGAUCAGAACGCCUUCGAGGACCACCUUCAGGCACGGACUGAGAAUGAUGGAGGUUUUUGACCAGACUGAACAUCGACAAGGCGGAGGAGGAGAGCUAUUGGAGCAGAAUCAAGUACUACGACAUCCGGGGCAAAUUACUUGGUUUGGAAGAAGAACGAAAGGAAGGCGAGACCUGGGAAACCUCGCUCCUCUUUCGCUCCUAGCUGAGGUCACCAUCUGUUAAAGGUUACCUCGAUGGAAGCCAACAAUCUUCUCCAGCUGGAGCAGUUGGACGGUUGACCACUGAAAGCACUGACGCCCUACACUUCAAUGAAGCCCAAUAGACAAAGACCAUCAACUGUCCGAGCCACCCAGGAGGUAUCCUAUCCACCAGAACCAAUGAGUUCGGAUCAGUCCAAUUCUCUGUCUUCUGAGUUGAAGGGGGACCAGCUUGAGUUUCAGAGGGAGACUGCGAAGAUUAGGACUGGAGACCUCCUGACAGAAUCACUCACCCGAAAGAAUGGAAUCAGCAGGAGCAGACGCCCUCCCUUCAGAGAUAGAGGAGCUGGGGUAUCAGCUGGGGUAUCAGCCGGUUCUGGCACUGUGGCAUCAGAGCCAGAUUGAAGCUCCUGCGGUGGACGAAUGGUUGAAGCGCUCGGAGGAGACCUGGGACGCCGCCCAUGUGCACCUGCAACGAGCCGUGAGGCGGCAGAAGGCGAGCGCUGACCGCCACCGCAGUGAGGCCCCGGUGUGCCGGGUCUGGCUCUCGACCCAAAACCUGCCUCUCCGCCUGCCCUGUCGGAAGCUGGGUCCGCGGUUUGUGGGGCCAUUUAAAGUCCUGAGGAGACUGAACGAGGUAAGCUACAGGUUACAGCUUCCCCCAGAUUAUCGCAUUAAUCCCUCGUUCCAUGUGUCUCUCCUCAG
rnacentral:lncRNA from 1 species